rnacentral:rRNA from 1 species
AUCUAUAACCAUACCACCCUGAACACCUGGAUCUCAUCUGAUCUUGGAAGCUAAGCAGGGCCGAGCCUGGUUAGUACUUGGAUGGGAGAUCCUCAAUUUUCUCAUCUGUAAAAUGGAAAUGUAAAAA